AGAGACUACUGGAUUUAUGGUUUAUUACAACAAUCUAUGAUCCACCAACCCCUUUCUUUGUCCUAUGACCGCCUUGAAUGGCCCCUUACAGUAAUGUUCUUACUACUUAUACUAAACAAUCUUUUCCACCUUGCAUUUAGCUGUGAUGCUCAGGGUACCUUUCCCACACCCAGGAGAACUCUAUUGCAACUGGUCUACACUCUUUUGCAUCUGAUCUACAGAGCUAUGUCAGCAGAAGAACAUCUCCUGCCAACAAAGCUACCACGUCUCAGGUGCUGUACAAACACAGAACCCAAGAAUGUCUUCUGCCCCCAAAAGCUCACAAGUUUAGUACAAAGCAGGGGUGGGCAAUGAUUUUUGAUGGGGGUCCACUCCAAGAAUUUGCUUCUUGAUGCUGCAGAGUAAGCAGGAGGACAGGACAGUGAAACACGCCCAUAGCAAUGAGAUCUGACACUGCACACUGAGGAAGCGGUUCUGUGGAAAAAGGAGGGGCUGUUUUCCCUCAGUUGUUUGCGUUCUGAGACUACAUAAGGCAGAAUGGAAUUGCACUCUAAGUAAUAAACAGACUGAGAUGAAUACUGAAUUUUUCUUGUUAUCCCUUUUUGUGUUCACAUUAUAGACACUGGAAUCUGGUUUGUAGACACUGGUAUGAAACAGAGGCCUGAAUUAACACAGAGGGUAUAUCCCAGCAGGCUGGCAGCUGAGCAAAGGGAAGCUGACAUUGCCCAUAGUUGUGUGGUGGAGAGGCCCGUCUCUCUUUCUGCUGUGAAUCUAGCAACUGCCGUGAGCACUGCAUUCCCU